rnacentral:rRNA from 1 species
AACGAACGCUGGCGGCAGGCCUAACACAUGCAAGUCGAGCGAGAUCUUCGGAUCUAGCGGCGGACGGGUGAGUAACGCGUGGGAACGUACCUUUUGCUACGGAAUAGCCUCGGGAAACUGGGAGUAAUACCGUAUGUGCCCUUCGGGGGAAAGAUUUAUCGGCAAAAGAUCGGCCCGCGUUGGAUUAGGUAGUUGGUGAUGUAACGGCUCACCAAGCCGACGAUCCAUAGCUGGUUUGAGAGGAUGAUCAGCCACACUGGGACUGAGACACGGCCCAGACUCCUACGGGAGGCAGCAGUGGGGAAUCUUAGACAAUGGGGGAAACCCUGAUCUAGCCAUGCCGCGUGAGCGAUGAAGGCCUUAGGGUUGUAAAGCUCUUUCAGCUGGGAAGAUAAUGACGGUACCAGCAGAAGAAGCCCCGGCUAACUUCGUGCCAGCCGCCGCCGUAACAC